rnacentral:rRNA from 1 species
AACGAACGCUGGCGGCAGGCCUAACACAUGCAAGUCGAGCGGAUGAAGAGAGCUUGCUCUCUGAUUUAGCGGCGGACGGGUGAGUAAUGCCUAGGAAUCUGCCUGGUAGUGGGGGAUAACGUUCCGAAAGGAACGCUAAUACCGCAUACGUCCUACGGGAGAAAGCAGGGGACCUUCGGGCCUUGCGCUAUCAGAUGAGCCUAGGUCGGAUUAGCUAGUUGGUGAGGUAAUGGCUCACCAAGGCUACGAUCCGUAACUGGUCUGAGGGGAUGAUCAGUCACACUGGAACUGAGACACGGUCCAGACUCCUACGGGAGGCAGCAGUGGGGAAUAUUGGACAAUGGGCGAAAGCCUGAUCCAGCCAUGCCGCGUGUGUGAAGAAGGUCUUCGGAUUGUAAAGCACUUUAAGUUGGGAGGAAGGGCAGUAAGUUAAUACCUUGCUGUUUUGACGUUACCGACAGAAUAAGCACCGGCUAACUUCGUGCCAGCAGCCGCGGUAAAAC